AACGAACGCUGGCGGCAGGCUUAACACAUGCAAGUCGAACGCCCCGCAAGGGGAGUGGCCGACGGGUGAGUAACGCGUGGGAAUCUACCCAUCCCUACGGAAUAACGCAUGGAAACGUGUGCUAAUACCGUAUACGCCCUACGGGGGAAAGAUUUAUCGGGGAUGGAUGAGCCCGCGUUGGAUUAGCUAGUUGGUGGGGUAAAGGCCUACCAAGGCGACGAUCCAUAGCUGGUCCGAGAGGAUGAUCAGCCACAUUGGGACUGAGACACGGCCCAAACUCCUACGGGAGGCAGCAGUGGGGAAUAUUGGACAAUGGGCGCAAGCCUGAUCCAGCCAUGCCGCGUGAGUGAUGAAGGCCUUAGGGUUGUAAAGCUCUUUCACCGGAGAAGAUAAUGACGGUAUCCGGAGAAGAAGCCCCGGCUAACUUCGUG
rnacentral:rRNA from 1 species